UUGGCAAAGUCUGAAAAAAGACU
rnacentral:miRNA from 1 species